rnacentral:ncRNA from 1 species
CAACCUCCACUCAUAUGGGACUACCCCCUGAAUUUAAGCAUAUUAAUUAGGGGAGGAAAAGAAACUAACAAGGAUUUUCUUAAUAGCGGCGAGCGAAAAGAAAUCAGUUCAGCACUACAUCACUUUGUCUAUAUGGCAAAUGUGAGAUGCAGUGUAUGGAGCGUCAAUAUUCUAAUAUGAGAAAUUAGACGAUUUAAGUCCUUCUUAAAUGAAGCCAUUUACCCAUAGAGGGUGCCAGGCCCGUAUAACGUUAAUGAUUACUAGAUGAUGUUUCCUAAGAGUCAUGUUGCUUGAUAGUGCAGCACUAACUGGGUGGUAAACUCCAUCUAAAACUAAAUAUAACCAUGAGACCAAUAGUAAACAAGUACCGUGAGGGAAAGUUGAAAAGAACUCUGAAUAGAGAGUUAAAUAGGACGUGAAACUGCUUAGAGGUUAAGCCCGAUGAACCUGAAUAUCCGUUAAGGAAAAUUCAUCAUUAAAGUUAUAAUAUUUAAACAAUAUUAUACAAAUAAUGUGCAUUUUUUCCAUAUAAGGACAUUGUAAUCUAUUAACAUAUUAAAUUUAUCAUAAAAUAUGGCUUAUACUUUAUUCAAAUUAUUAUGCUUGCAUUUUAACAUAGAAUAAAUGUCAUUAAUUUGAUAAAGUGUUGAUAGACUAAUAAGAAUACAGUGCGUUAAUUUUUCGGAAUUAUAUGAUGGCAUAAUUAUCAUUGAUUUUAGUGUUUUAUAUUAGCCCUUUGUAUGAAUAAAUACCUUAAAGAUUCUUGAAACCUUUCGGGACCCUGUCUGGAACACGGAAUCAAAGGAAUUCUAAAC